GAGGCGGGAGAUGUCCUUGGACAGGGAACCGGGAUGGAGAAUAAGCUAGUCGGCUAGUCGGGAUUCCAAAAUGGGUCAGGGGUCAGGGUAAGAAGAAUCUGAAGCAGCUGGAGAGGGCUUUUGUUUUUUAUUUUAUGUUUAUUUUUAUUUUUUAAAGCAUCUCAGCUCUGAUUUAAGAGCAGAAGAAAAAGUGGAAACAAAUAGAUUUAUAUCAAGUAUGGGAAAAUUGUAGACUAGGGAGAGAAGCUGAGACUAGCAAGAAUGAAGUGACUAAAGAGGUGAGAAUCUUUCCUAGGAAGUGGGAUACAAUGUAUAUCAACACAUUUUCAUUAAAUGUAACUGUGAGUAAGAACCUGAACCAUGUUGAAUAUUUCAAGAUCUUCUUGGUUUUCAACUUGAGAAAAUGAAUACCCACCCACCCCCCUUUCUGGAUUGUUAUGAACUCUGGGUGUGACUGGCAUCACACUUUCUAUGUAGAUUAAAACCUUAUAGGUAAAUAAUAAAUCUACGACUGGAUUAUCAGGACAAUUGCUUUUCAGUCCCUUUGCUACUUUUUAACUGAAUUUUGAGCCUACUGUCCAGAAAAGUUCAUUAACUACCUAAAAUCAGAAGUGAAUUUUAGAAGUUCAGUGCUCUCUAGAUCUCCAAAUACAAACAAAAACUCCAAGCCUUUAAAUUUUGAUUACUCUUUUUAAAAUCAGCUAAAAUGUAAACACGUAUCUGGGUCAUUUGGCCCUUCAUCUCUUCUGUGAUUAAAUUUAAAAUGUGUGUGUUUUUUAAAUAUGUUGUAACAACUGUCUUUAAUUAAAAACAAAAAAAAAAACUGAUUGGAUUUAAAGAGUUGUAAA
rnacentral:lncRNA from 1 species